GAUGAACGCUGGCGGCGUGCCUAAUACAUGCAAGUAGAACGCUUAAGUUCGAUCUUGCUUUGCUGCAUGAGUGGCGAUCGGUUGAGUAACGGGUAGGUAACCGGCGGUAAAUGGUGGGAUAACUAGUGGAAACUAUAGCUAAUACCAGAUAACAACACCUAUUUCAUGAUAGUGCUUGAAAAGUGGUAGCUGCUGGACUACUAGCUGAUUCUGCGUUGUAUUAGCUAGUUGGUGAGGUAAAGGCUGACCAAGGCGACGAUACAUAGCCGACCUGAGAGGGUGAUCGGCCACACUGGGACUGAGAAACGGCCCAGACUCCUACGGGAGGCAGCAGUAGGGAAUCUUCGGCAAUGGACGGAAGUCUGACCGAGCAACGCCGCGUGAGUGAAGAAGGUUUUCGGAUCGUAAAGCUCUGUUGUAAGAGAAGAACGGGUGUGAGAGUGGAAAGUUCACAAUGUGACGGUAUCUUACCAGAAAGGGACGGCUAACUACGUG
rnacentral:rRNA from 1 species